rnacentral:rRNA from 1 species
UACGGAAGGUCCGGGCGUUAUCCGGAUUUAUUGGGUUUAAAGGGAGCGCGGGCCGGAGAGUAAGCGUGACGUGAAAUGCCGCGGCUCAACCGUGGAAGUGCGUCGCGAACUGCCUUUCUUGAGUGUAUUCGACGUAGGCGGAAUUCGUGGUGUAGCGGUGAAAUGCUUAGAUAUCACGAAGAACCCCGAUUGCGAAGGCAGCCUACGAGGCUACGUCUGACGCUAAAGCUCGAAGGUGCGGGUAUCGAAC